rnacentral:rRNA from 1 species
CUCAACUAGUGAAGUGCCUUUGAAACUGUUAGGCUUGAGAGCAGAAGAGGAAGAUGGAAUUCCUGGUGUAGUGGUGAAAUACGUAGAUAUCAGGAAGAAUACCAAUGGUGAAGACAGUCUUCUGGUCUGACUCUGACGCUGAGGCACGAAAGCUAGGGUAUCAAACGGGAUUAGAUACCCCGGUAGUCCUAGCUGUAAACGCUGGAUACUAGGUGUUGGGGGUUCAACUCCCUCUGCGCCGCAGUUAACGCUUUAAGUAUCCCGCCUGGGGAAUACGACCGCAAGGUUGAAACUCAAAGGAAUUGACGGGGGCCCGCACAAGCGGCGGAGCAUGUGGUUUAAUUCGAAGCAACGCGAAGAACCUUACCAGAACUUGACAUCCCUGUGACUAUUCCGUAACAGGAAGUCUCUCUUCGGAGACACA